GGGACUUUAGCUCAGUUGGUAGAGCACAUCGUUCACAUCGAUGGGGUCGCUGGUUCGAGUCCAGUAAGUCCCACCA
rnacentral:tRNA from 1 species